rnacentral:rRNA from 1 species
CCUACGGGAGGCAGCAGUGGGGAAUAUUGGACAAUGGGCGAAAGCCUGAUCCAGCAAUGCCGCGUGAGUGAUGAAGGCCUUAGGGUUGUAAAGCUCUUUUACCCGGGAUGAUAAUGACAGUACCGGGAGAAUAAGCCCCGGCUAACUCCGUGCCAGCAGCCGCGGUAAUACGGAGGGGGCUAGCGUUGUUCGGAAUUACUGGGCGUAAAGCGCACGUAGGCGGCUUUGUAAGUCAGAGGUGAAAGCCUGGAGCUCAACUCCAGAACUGCCUUUGAGACUGCAUCGCUUGAAUCCGGGAGAGGUGAGUGGAAUUCCGAGUGUAGAGGUGAAAUUCGUAGAUAUUCGGAAGAACACCAGUGGCGAAGGCGGCUCACUGGACCGGUAUUGACGCUGAGGUGCGAAAGCGUGGGGAGCAAACAGGAUUAGAUACCCCGGUAGUC